rnacentral:piRNA from 1 species
UCUAAGGAAAUUAGGUCGGAUACAUAC